rnacentral:rRNA from 1 species
UAGGGAAUCUUCCACAAUGGACGCAAGUCUGAUGGAGCAACGCCGCGUGAGUGAAGAAGGUCUUCGGGAUCGUAAAACUCUGUUGUUAGAGAAGAACACGAGUGAGAGUAACUGUUCAUUCGAUGACGGUAUCUAACCAGCAAGUCACGGCUAACUACGUACCAG